CCUACGGGUGGCUGCAGUGGGGAAUAUUGCACAAUGGGCGCAAGCCUGAUGCAGCCAUGCCGCGUGUGUGAAGAAGGCCUUCGGGUUGUAAAGCACUUUCAGCGGGGAGGAAGGCGGUGAGGUUAAUAACCUCAUCGAUUGACGUUACCCGCAGAAGAAGCACCGGCUAACUCCGUGCCAGCAGCCGCGGUAAUACGGAGGGUGCAAGCGUUAAUCGGAAUUACUGGGCGUAAAGCGCACGCAGGCGGUCUGUCAAGUCGGAUGUGAAAUCCCCGGGCUCAACCUGGGAACUGCAUUCGAAACUGGCAGGCUAGAGUCUUGUAGAGGGGGGUAGAAUUCCAGGUGUAGCGGUGAAAUGCGUAGAGAUCUGGAGGAAUACCGGUGGCGAAGGCGGCCCCCGGGACAAAGACUGACGCCCAGGUGCGAAAGCGUGGGGAGCAAACAGGAUUAGAUACCCUAGUAGUC
rnacentral:rRNA from 1 species